rnacentral:lncRNA from 1 species
GAGUUUUGUUCUCUAAUCAUUCAAAUCCAGUAAUGUGUAUAUUGUGAGAGAAGGGGGUGAAUGAGUGUUUUAUGUCCAAAAGAAUAAAACUGUAAUAGUAGCCCCAAAGAAAGAGAUAAGACUUUGGGAGUGACUAGGUUUCCUUUAUAGCAUUUAGAACAAGAUAUGAGUUGAGAGUACUUAUUGUAGCAUGAAGACUCAAAGAAGGAGGAGUUCUUCCUUCGUUGUAAUAUUAAUCUGAUGGGAAAAGAUGGUCUUCUUAGUUCUUACAAAUUCAUUUGUCUUGUAUUCUACUUGGUACUAGUUUUCUAUUCUUGGCCUGCCACUACUUUGUGUCAUUCAGAAACAGUCUCUCUACCUCCAUGAGGUAGUGGUAAGGUCUGUGUACACUUUACCCUCCCCAAACUUCACUUGUGGGAUUUCAUUGGGUAUGUUGUUGUUUUGUUGUUCGCCUGCUACUUGCUUUGUUAAUGUAAGUGCAGUACAGAUGGAGCAAAGCAUGUGUUAGUGAGUAUUUUCAACUUUGAUAAUGAAUCAUGUUCAAAUUAUUCAAUGUUCAGUAGCAUGAUUAUCGCCACUACUAUGUGAUUCUGUUCACAGAUUUUCAACUUUUAUAAAGGGUAUGCCAUGAUUCCUUUGCUAUUAAAAAUAGCUUGGAAGGGAAUAUUUUGUGAUGGGGAAACAUUGGAGACUACGUGGAUUGAUUUUUUUUCUUAUAAUAUAUGGUUAUUUGAUGUAGUUGGUUGAGUUUGUCUAAUUAAUCUCCUCCUGAGAUUAAGGAAGAAAAUUAGAGGCGUGGGGUGCUAUGUUUAGCAAGUUGUCGUCUGCAUUUAAAGAAAAAAAUGAUUGCUGACUAGUUUGUCUAUAGGCUAGGUUGGCUCUGUUGAUGGGCUGCCCAUCUCUUUCUUGACUAUUAUGCAUUUGUUUUUUUAAACCCCUCGUGUUUGGUCAGUUUGUGUGCAGCUCGAUUCUAUGUUUUUAAUCAAUUUUAUUGACUAGAAGACGACACCUUUGCCUGCAUAUUGUGUAAACAAUUUAUAAAGAAUGACGUGAAUCUGUUAAUCUGUUUGGUGCUUUGUGGUUGUGGGUCAUUAUGUAUAUUUUUUUUUAAAAAAGAUGCUCUUAACUUAGGUACAAGUCUUAUCGUUGUCACGAUGGCCCCCAUGUUUAUACAACAUGGAGAACCAAUCCAACUUGUGAAUGAUAAUCUCAGACUUUAAUAUUUUGGUCCCCCAUUAUGUUAUGACUUUUGUUUACAAGUAUCUUUUUGGUGGAUAUGGCAGAUUCGAGCCUGCUUUGCUUUUGCACUUUUUGAGUUUUGUUUAUACAUAGACUACAUGGACUGAUUUUUUUAUUUUAUUUUUCAGUUCUUUUUAGUCCUCCUCCAAAUAUUAACUUAAAAAUAACAAAAUUCCAAUAAUGGUGUGUUUUAGAGCUAAAAUAAGCUUUUAUCACUUUUGGAGUGUUCAGAUAUACUAAAAAUGUGCUUAUAAGCACUUGAUUCAUGUUAAUAUGAUAAAAAUAAGUCACACAUCAUAAGUUAAGAAUUCUUGAAUUUUGACUUAAUCCAAAUCCAAACAGGUCAAAGAGUGAAUAGUCUCUUUAUGUCCUACGACCGGGGCGGCUCACGGCCUUUAAAAAUGAGUCAUCCGUCUUAGGCUUUUUAAAAAAAAGUAAUAAUAGAAUUAUUAUAAGUAUUGUUUUAACAAAAAAAAAUAUUGCGUCUUUCUUUUAGUUCGUUUCCAAAUAUUAAAGAAUGUUUUUUUCUUUUUUGUCAAUUUUUUAAUUUAACUUCCACAUGACAUGUUUAAGACCGUAACAUUAAAAAAUACUUUGAUUUAUAUAUAUAGUUUAAGACCAUUGAAAAAAUAAAGAUUUUUCAUUAAAAAUGAGAAAUAACCUUGGAUUUCAAGAAUAAAAAAAAUAAAAGCUAGGUCUUCGACUCAUUUUUGGAUUUAGGCCACUAAUUAACUUGAACCACCACUAACUAAGACGACUAUAGAAACUAAAGUCUGAUGGAGUUGAAGAGUUAAACCCAAAGAUGGAGUCAAAAUUUGAUUUUAUAAGUUUUAUAUUUUACAAUGACGAUUUUCAAAUGUAUUGAGUUCUAAAUUUAAAAUUUAUACAUAGUUAAUGCAUUUCACUACAUAUAUAAAAGUUUAUGGCAAAUCUAUUGCACGCCUUAUUGUUAGCCUUGUGCAUUUUCCGACAGUGUCCGCGCCUUAGGAAUUAUGUGUACGAUACUUUAUUUUAAAGAUUCCUUUUACAUAUUUGACUAUAACUUGUAUGCCGUUGAGAAAAAUAUGAUAUGUUAUAUAAUAGAGUAUUUGAUGAUUUUAAAUAUUAUUAUUACUAAUAUAUAAAUAUCCUUAGUUGCAACAAAACUUUUUUUUUUUGGUUGUUUUUGCUUGCUUCUAAUAAUCUCUUUUGGUAAGGAAUUGGUGGUAUUAAAUUCACCAUACACCAAAUAGAUGAUUUUUGCUUUAAAUUGAAUGUAGAAUUAGGUGGGGAAGGUUAUGGAAAAAUCAUUAAUAAAGCAAAGAAUAUAUGCCAAGUGGUCCUGAUUGCCCUUAGAUUUUUCAUCCUUCGCUUUUACUAUGUAAAUAGUUCUUCACCAAAAGUUAGAAGACAUUAAAACAUUUACGUACAUGGCACAUUUUUGUUACAAAAAUUAUUUUGGCAACUUUGGUACAAAAAAGUAAAAGUUGAAUUAUCAUUCGCGAAAUAGGACUUUUCCCUAUACAUUUAUCUUUAUUGAAAAUGUUUGAAAGAUUGAGCGAGAACGGUUAAGAGAGUGUACAGACAAGGAAUGUAGUUCUAUGCCUUGAUGCUCUCACAUAUAGCUCAUUCACUUCUUGAACAGCAUAUCUGCAUAAAAACACUUUUUUUUUCCUUCAAAAAAGAAAAAGAAAAGGGAAAUUACACUUUUUUUCUCUUAGUUAUUUUCUAUCCCAAGGAAAGAUAGCCUCUUCGACUGUGUGUAUGUUCACUGUCAUUAUGGAGGAAUAUUUUCAUGAGUUGUUUUUGGGAGAAGUUUUUAGUGAAAUGUGAAAUCUUUCAAGUUUCUGCAAUAAAAUUGUGUUUCAAACUGAAUUGCAAGUCAUGUCUCUUUGAUGACCUUAAUAUUCGAGAAGCAGUGACUUGAAAGGCUGCUAGAAGUAUCUCCAUCAAAACAAGAUGUUGAAGUAUAUGCAGAGUAAGAGUAACAAGAAGAUAAAUUACUGAUAAAACCAGUAUGUUACAACUCAACAGACUUUAUAUAAGCUUUACUCACUGAAUUCCUUAUAAAAAAAGAAACCUAUGAAAAAAAUUUGAGUGUAGUACAUCACAACUCGGUCCUCCCCCCUGCAUUUCCAUAUAAAAGAGAAGAAAAAUAGCAAAAGGUCAUGUAUAGUCCUAGACUCUAAGAGGGACUCCCUGGUUAAUGAAAAGAAUCUGUACAGUUGAGAAGUGUAGGGAAAACUUCAUGAAAGUGCAAAAGCCGAUUAAGGGGCUGCACAAGAAAGAAGGAAAUUUGAUAAGCACAACUGCUACAUCAUAUUACUGCCACCUACUGCCACCUUUGGUAGAUUUAGCCAACAUAUUGGCUGCACUGGUCGACUUCCGCAGACCUGAAACAUAUUGAAGAAGUUCCAAUUACACUACUAAUCUUUAGCCGAGGGGUGUUCUUUGAACAUGUCAUGCUUAAUCAACAUACCAUUUGAGGCUUUUGGAGAAUCCCUGUCUGAUUUUUGUGGAGGUCUAGGAAUCUUAUGUGCAGUUUUGUGUCUGCAAAAGGCCGUGUAGGAUGAUAGUCAAGCAAUUAGGUUAAGUUAAGCAGCAAAAAUCCGCUAGUUCAAUACUCUUGGUCCAGAAGUUGGAAUACCUUAACUCAGAGGAGUGAUGUUAAGUCUACGAACUUCCUGUAUCUUUUAGUUUCAUCAUAAGCAAUAAGUAUUGUUUAAAUUAUUGAUCAACUUGCUUUACUUUUUCCCAUAUAAUGAGUUGAUAACAACAUUUCAGAUGACAGUUAAGUCCCUAUAUGAAUCCUUGACCUACUUGUUUUACCUUUUCCAUGUAGUUAAUAACAACAUCUAAGAUAACAGUUUAGUUUCAAUAUAAAAUUUCUACAUUAGCCAAUCAGGGUACCUGGAGUUACUUGAAUAAAUAAGAAUAAAGCUCUAGGAUCUUUAUUCUCUUACGUUGACUAAAGAAAUUAACGUUCUGUAGAAAGCACAAGCAUGCCGAGAUGAUGUUUACUUACUUAUUUGUGUUCUCUGGUCGUUUGUAUCCUUCAGGGAAAGGAUUGGCACUUUCAGCACAUUCAUCAGUUUCUGUGCCCACAGAAAGACCACUAUCAGAUAGCAUAUCACUUAGUCUUUCCUCAUUAUCUGCGUUGCUGAACACAAAUAUAUCAGCAUCUGCAGAAAUAUUCUAGACUUAAAGUCCGUCCAGCAGUCUCAGUCGAGACUUCUUUUGGUGUCCAAACUUAUCAGUCAUCACUAUAAUUCUUGAAACUAGCUAAAUAAUUCUGAUCACUACUCUUUAAGCCCUUAUCAGAUGCUGCUUUCUCACUAAGUGUGGAGUCUCAUUUACCAGAGAAUUUCAUGCUACAUGCUAAGUCCCAUGAAAUAAAUGUUUGCCUGGAGAUGAAGAGCCAUACCUGAAUGAGCUUGGACUGCGUUUCUCACCAUUGGCUUCUGGAGAAACAUUCUUUUGAACUUUGAGCAGCUGUAGUUGCUCAAUCUCCUCAUCUUUAUUAGCAAUUGUAUCCUUGAGAGACACGACCUGGAAGAUUAAAAGUUAACAAUGGACAAUAUUUCACAUGCAGAAAAUUGGAAGUCAGGCAGUAAUAUCAUCUUUCGAAGAAUACGGAAAAGCUCCAGCGAGAUAACAGAAUGAAGCUGCUUAAUGGAAAAAGCUCUUUCUGAAAAAAUCCAGGUUAUAGAAACCCAGUAGUCAAACUACACUACUCCUAUGAUCUUCAGUCUCUAAUCAAGAUCAUGGGUAGUUCUACUGGUAUCCUGCCUAAAACUCUUAUGAAAAUUGUUGCAUUAGAUUUUGGUGUUAUAAAAUAUGUAAGUAACUUUGAACAUCUUGUUUGUGGUCCUAUAACCGAUCGCCAACUAAUAUAUUGCCAGACCAUAGUUUCGUCUAAUUGCCAGCUUACUUGAAUACCUAAAUUCUCUUCUUUAGUCCGAAAGUAAUUUACUCGAGAGGGUAUACUAGCCACAUGUUUAGGUAAUUGGACUAAGAAAAAAGAUAUUGCAUCAUCAAUUCUAGUACAGCAAUUAAAAGUCUCUAAUCUAGAAGAACUACAAAGUGAAUAGAGCACCUGCUCCAUCAAUUCUCUGAUAUCUCUGCCAUCCUUGCUACUUCGAGCAGCACCUAGCUCUACUCCAGAUGCUCUUUCAGCGAACUUCAAUGUGCUCAUGGUUUCUGAAUAUGAACUAAUUUCAGGGUUAAGCUGCACAAACAUAAGUGUCUUUGCCUGACCACCUGUACAACAAAAUAGAAUUAUAAAUUACUGCAAGAAGAGAAUUACCGAAUGAAGUGAAAGCAAAACCUUUUGUAUAGAAAGAGAAUUACCUAAUGAAGCCUGAAGGACUUGAGUGAGUUUGCUGUUUCUGUAUGGAAUGUGAGCAUUCUUUUGUGCCAAAGCAGAUAUGACAUCUCCUAAAGCAGACAAUGACUUAUUUAUAUGUUGUGCCUCUUUUAAUCUAUCUCCUGUCACCUCGGAGCGAUCUACCCUUUCACUUCCAGCAAGAUCCACCAAAUGAAGACUACUAUGCAUUGAUGAGCCACUCUUUAUAUCCUUCCCUUGGACAUGGAUAGUUACGAUACUGGAAAUAUAUUGCAAUAAGUUUAUUUAUGUAACCUAUCAAAAUUUAAAAGGAAAAACAGGUAUUUUUUAAUAUUGAAAUUCAGAGAUGAUUAGUUGUCUGAACCUGUGUGAUCGACUACUUCUUUCAUUCAUGGCAGUGGAACCUUUUGCUCGAUUUCUCAAUCCCGUAUCCAUUAAAUCUAAGACAUCAGAGGUUCCAUUGACCGGGAACAUGCUUGCUUCUGGGACAGCUAACCCAUUGGCUUGAGAGGUAGAUAGAAUCCCAAGUGUGUGCAAAUCAAGGAAAACAGUUGAAGAUGCAUGUUAUUUAUUGCAAACAUAAUAUCGAUCUUUUGUGAUUCUUUGAAAUUGUAGGAAAUGCAACAUGGGAGAAAAGAAAGGGACAACUAAAAAUUUUGGUAGAACAUUUUUCGAAUUGACAAUUUAUUUAAUGUAGAAAAUGGAGAUAAUGCCAAGAAAGGUAAAAAAAUUUGAAAUUUAGUUAAGGAUAUCUUUUUUGAGAACCAUCACUUGACAGUAAGUCACGAACUUGUUCAUUAUAUAUUUCCAUCAUUUGAACUUUGAUUUCAUACUUGAAAGUGCUCUCUCUCAUUUGGGAAAUUCUGAAAAGAUCAUUCAAAGCUCGAUAAUUGACUCCCCAAUCCUCCUCGCUUGCUCCAUCGGGACCAGUCUGGAGGUUAAUUUAACUUGCUUCAGCAAUGUUAAACGAUUGUGUAAACAUAUUUAACAGAUUAUACAGGAUGCCAUUCUUACCAUGGUGUACGUUUUUCCCGAGCCAGUUUGUCCAUAGGCAAAUAUACAUACAUUAUAACCAUCCAGCACAGACUGUACCAAGGGCUGAAUAUCUGAAUACACUUGAGCUGCAGAGAGAGAAUGUGAAAUUAUACAUUGCAUGAAGUUAAAUUUACAGAAUAUGUAUAGAAUAAUUUUAUCUGGCAUAGUUUGGAGGAAUCUGAAAACCUUGUGCUGAAGCUGGACUGUAGACCGUAUUGAACUUGAAAGACCUACGGCCUUCUUUCCCUUGUUUGGAAGGAUUUACAACAACUAGCUCCCCAUUUUCUCCGAUAUAUUCUAUCACUGUCUGUUUCUCCUUUUGUCCACGAAGGAAUGGCCUUAUCCGACAAUACACUCUAAUAUUUCCUAAUUUAAAAAAGAUUCAUAAGCAACAGUAAAAGGAGAGAAAUCUUCCAUCCUCUUGAUACUAAAAUUUCGUGAUAUAACAACACCUUUUAACUCUUGCAGCUCAUUGUGUAGUUUGCGAUUCUCAGCAAGGACGACAGAGUAGUUUGCAGCUGCAUGGUCUAGUGCUCUAAAUUUUACAGCUGUCAUAGAAAUUUAACUUAAUAAGAAAAAUCCAAUACAAUUACUUAACUGUAAAAUCUGUUUUGACAUCUUACACCUAUAUGCUUCCAAUAAAUGUUAUUCAUACAGCACUGACCUAAUUGAUUGAAUUCCUCUGCAUAGCUCCGUUGUGUUUUCACUACUUCUUGCUUUAUUGACUGAGAAGCAAACUUCAGUUCCUGAAGUUUAUGGAGAUCCAGAUCAGAUGUGAUAAACAACUAAAUAUACACAAAUUAAGAGAAAAAGAUCAGAGCAUACACGUAGUGCGCCAAGCUGGAAUUCUGUGAAUAUUUGGUACACAUUCUCCUUCUUGCUCCACUUCAGUGAUUUUGAUUCAGAAAAUGUCUCGAGUUCUUUUGCUCUGUGUUGUGAUUCUUUUAAAAGGAUCUCAACGUCUUUCAACCUCUCCUCAAGCUUUUGUUGAGUAUUUCUGGCCUCUUUUUCCAUUUCAAGGCAGCGUUCUUCAUGUGCUUUCUUAGCUAUUUCUAGUUCUUGCUUCAAAGCUGCGAUCUCUUGACUAUGAUCAUCCUUCUCCUUCAUCAAUCUAACCACAUCCUGAUCCUCAUUUCUCUUUUCCGCAUCCAUUUUGAUUUUUACACUCUGUAAUAUGAUUUCAAUUCAAAAAAGGAUGCUAAAAUUUUAAAACCGUGGAAAAGAAUCAUAAUCAGCUAAAUAUUCUUUGCAGAAACGAGUCUCAUCAGAUCCUUUUGAAUCAAUAGCAAAUUUCAUAUAGCACAAGUAAUGAUCAAUUGUAGGCAGAGUAGAAAGGUGGUGAACUACCUUAAUCUGCUGAAGUUGGUUCAUGACAAUCUGAAAUAAAAGACUGUGUGGGUGAAGGAUGCAUUAACUCUUGAAGAAGUAAGAUUUUCUAAGACUUCAAGAACUUUUUCACAGAAAGGGUAGUUUUACACUACCUGCGUCUCUUCACUAGUCCCAGUUGCAAGGGCUUCCAGGACUCGGAUCCGUGACUGGUAUUUCUCCUCACGAGUCUUGAAUAGAUUGUUUUGCUACAGGCAGAGUAAAUGUCAUGAGCUAGGUUCAUUAUCAAGAGAAUUUGGGGGAAAACAGCUAAGGUGUAUUAUACCGUUCUAAGAUGUUCAGCUUGAGUAGAGAUUCGCCGCUCAAUUUCUUGCACUGCUUUUCUCAACAAGCAUGCUACACGCUGACAGAGUUAAACAACUAAAUGAUGUUAGGCCAUGCUUUUAUUUAUUUAUUCGGGUAGUAAAGAACAUAAUCAUGAAUAUCUUUAUCUCUAGUGUGCGUACAUGAGGUAUCUCUCCAUUCUUCCGCUCAAUGCUUUCAUCAAGAAUCUCAUUCACAACACUUAGAAGUGACUGUGUUGGGGCAAUCUGGGUGCAAAACAAUCAGUUGCAAUAAGUAUGAAUUCAAAAUUUCAGAUGAAAAAUCUAGUCAAGCUUCACUGACAAAAAAGAACAUGUUACUAACAUCCAAGCUGUUAGAUUUCAUCAUUUCGGAAAUCUUUGAGGGGGGAAGAUCAGCAUAGCCCCCUUGUUUAAGCUGAAAUACUUCAUGGAACUUAUGUCCAACGUGAUGUAGUAAUGCAGCUGAUGGCUCUAUAUAAAGUUCAAAAGACAGAAGUCAACAAUCUAAGAAAAAAAAAAUCAUGAGUGGAGUUUUGGAAAGUAGUUAGAACAUAAAGAUCUAAAACUAAUUCACCAAUAGUUUAAUUCUUCAGCUAAAAAGACCAGAAGAGGAUUGACAGUUUGAAUACAAAUGUCAAAUAGAACACUUGAUGAAUAAUGACAUUGAAGGAAGGCCCUGCCAUGUUAUACCUACUGCAUUUUCUUUAGUGAAUCUUUCAAAUGAAACAAUUUAUAAGAGGAAACCAAGUCUCCAUCUUUCCCUCAUGGAAAAGAAUGGGUCAAGGGAUGAGAUUUAAACAACCAGACCUGCCAUCACGGGACUUCUCAAAGCACGCUGGAACUUUGAAUCUGAUCCUAUCUUUUGUCUCCCUUCUGUUGAGGAUGGGGAAGAAUGAGUACUCGACAGUUCUUGUCUGUGAGCUACAUCAGAACCAGAUUUGCGAGAUAAUGGUGUGGUCGAACCAUAUCCUCCAACAUCUGGCAUAAAUUCUGCUCGAAGUGUCAAAAGGCACUCCAGAACAAUUUUCAUGGAUCCCUGGAUAACGUAUCGGAGUGAAUAAAUUAAAAGCAGAAAAAUGAUGUGUAAUUGUACCUAAAGGUACAGAAAGUUACACUUCUCUGCAUAUUAUAAUACAUACAACUCAAUGGCCUGUGAAUUAACACAUUCAACCAUUUAUACAAUGAUAAGGAGACACAAAGUAAUGAGGCAUAUAUUAGAACACGAGCACAACUCUAUAUUAAUGCUAACCUUUUCUAAAUCUGAUGCUUGAAAUCUAGGCAAGCCCAUUUUAUCCAUAGCUGACAAAAACCGUUUUACAUUUUCUGAGCCUAACGACGAAGAAAGGCCUGAACCACCAAACUAGAAUGAAAGAUGCAGUAAGUCAGAUCAUCAAAACAAAACCAACCCUAGCUUCUAAUUACUGUAAAAUCUGAUAUAUUACUACUACCUCUGAUAUAAAACCUGGUUUCAACUUGUUCAACAAUUGACACAAGAUAGUACCAUCAACCAAGUAUGCUCGUAACUCCUCAUCAGAAGCAUUUACUGGCAAACAUAAGGAAGGAAGAAGGCCGUUUAUCCACACUACCAAAGUUGCCCGUAGCUUAGCUGUAGACAUAACAAAGUGCAGUCCAAGAGAAAAUCAGCCCAAGCAAGAGUUUGUUCAGCAAAUACAUGGUAUUAAAUGUUUUGGACCUUCAGCCUCACCAUUACUACUUGAUGAAGGCUCAAAGAUGUCCCCACUAGUGGAUGGACUUGAGCUAUUCCGUCUACCACAGUCUUUAGCUACACGAUCCAGGAUUGAAUCCAUCAUGGUAACUAGAGUGUGGUCUUCAAUUCAGAGAAUGUCUGAAUCACAUAGAAAACAGACAUUAUGAAAUCAAUAUAUCCCUAACCUCCAUAAAUCAUAAAAAGGGAAAAACAUUUCAUCCAAAAGGCUGUCUCAACAACGGAAGCAGCUUGUAAGUUCACCAUACACAAUUAUCAGACAGUUUGCGAGUUCACUCUACACAAUUAUCAGACAAUUUGCAUGUUCACUCUACACAAUUAUCAGACAGUUGCACGUUCACUAUACACAAUUAUCAGACACUUAACAAGUUUACUAUACACAAUUAUCAGGCAGUUUGCAGGUUUACUAUACACAAUUAUCAGAGAGUUUGCAGGUUCACUAUACACAAAUAUCAUAUACAAUUACCCGACAGCUUAUCCCUUGGUAAUUCAAACCAGCUCAAUCAUAAUCCAAGGAAUUCCAAAUUCAUCUCAACAACUCAGAAAGAGUUGCCAUUCAAUUUUUUUUCUCAUAUGCACUUCAAACAAGAAGCAACAUUGGAACUUGAAAGUGAAGGAAAUAAAAUCAACAUUGAAGUUGCAUAUCUCUGGUCCUAAAAAUUACUACUAGCUUCAAUCUACAGCAUAAAGUGAUCAAGACAAUGUAUAAAACAUCACAUCAUUUGAAAGAUAGAAAAAGGACAUGAGAAAAAUAGCAAAAAAAUUAUGAGAAGCAAACACCUUAGGCUACAUGGAAAAGCAACAUAACCAAUAAUGAAACAUAAUCAUCAAGAUUGAGCAGUUACACAUUCAAAUGACAUUAACAAUUCCAAUACCAUCAUAGAAUAAUUCGCGAAAAAAAUCAGAGAGUUCUAAUACCUUCAAUUUUCAAGCUCUAAAAUUAACCAAGACUCAAUUUUGAAAUCAAGAAAUCAACUCUAAUAAUGAUCACAUGCAAAUUAAAAGCCAAGAACAGAGAACCCCACAAUACAUCAAUCACCAUUACGAAGAAACAACAUGAAAAAAAAAAAAGAAAAAGACAUACCCCAUCAACGACAAAAAUUUCGUCAAAAAGGAAAAGGACUAAAAUUGUUGAAAAAGAAGAGAAAAAACCUGUAAAAGGCAUAGAUAUGGAAAGGCAUAAAUGUGCACGUUCUCUAGGAGAAGACCAAAAGCAAUGAUUAAUUAAUAAUUCGUCAUUAUUAGUAUUAACAAUGAAUAUGGAAACAUUUUUUUUUUCUUUCAGAAAAUUUUCUCUAAAGGAAUUUGAGUAUUCGGUUGGUCUCCCAUUUUCCGUGUAUCGUUAGUCUCCUGAGGCAGGUUGAUAACCUGACCGCCUACCGUUAAUUUAGGAAAACUAUUUUAGCUCACCUUUUUAUUUCUCUUUUUAGAAAAAAAUAAUAAACAAGAAAAAGAAAAUAAAAAAAUUCCGAAGUCAAAAAGGAAAAACUUUACUCUUCUUUUCCUAUCAUUGUGUUUAUUUUUAAUAUUAACAGGGAACAAAAAUAAUAAUACUCUUACCAUUCAGAAGUAAAUUUAGGCAGAAUUAGAAUUUUUGACUUUUAGAAAGAUUGUUUUUUAUAAGUAGUUCUUUUAACACAAUAACAGAGUCUACGCUAAAGUUAUUGAGUUAUGUUGAAUCUAGUGGAAUUAUAGCUUCGCCUGAGAAGGGCGUACAAAAAGUUAGUCAAUUUUUUAUUUUUUACCUUCCUAAAGUAAAAAUGUUUAUCCGAGCAACUCCCCAUUGUCCAACAUUUUUGUAUCUUUCUUUUGUUAUGUAAAUUUUAUUAGGGAAUUUAUAGUAGCUUUUUGUAGUUUUUAAAGAUGGUUUAAUUUUUUUUUAAAUUGAUAUUUAAAUUAACACCAUAAAUAAUAUGUGUUGAACCUUGUACUAGAUGUCUGCCUUGCUCUUGAAUGAGCAGUGUCUUUGGAAAAAGUUUUUGUUUUCUUUUGUAAAAAUAAUUUUAAGUAAUUUGAAUGUGUUUUAAAAACUACUUUUAGAUUAGGGCGCUCCCAUCGUUUUCCAGAAAAAACAAAUUUGUCAGUCAUAUUUGAAACUUCUAUGUACUUGGAAUGUGUCAACAUGUGUCAACCUUAUUUUUUCCAAUUAGAAAAAAGUGCAAAUCAUUCUACUUGUUUUUUUUUUUAAUAUAUAUAAAUACCUAGUAUAUUGCUGCAACCUUUGAAAAUGACCAAUCCAUAAAGAAAAAGUCAAAUAUCACCUUCUUAAUCUUUCAAGAAAAGGCCAACUCCACUAAAUUAUUGACCGGAGAAAGUUGGAUUACCAACUAAUCCUUCAUUGCAUUGAUAUGAAACUUAAUGACCGAGGAAAAAAAAGACAGAAAUAAAAGUAUAUUUAAAUUUAAAAAUAGAAUAAAUGUGAAAUUAAGAUGACAUUCUAGAAACUAAAUGUAGCAACAAAAAUCAGAGUAAGGUACAAGUUUACAAAAUUUUCCAUUUGCGCUCCACAACAUUUGUGAUCAUUGAUAUGCAGUAGGCAGCAUUCAUUGGGUAAUCAGAAACUGCAAGAUACAUUAGAUGAUUAACUAGAUAAGGUUCAACUCCAGAAAAGAUGCAAAAACUUCCAUCAUGAUGGUAUUCCUUUAGAGAAAAUAGCAUGGACCUAGUUUAGCAUUUAAUAGAAAAUGCACGCAUACCUCUCGUCUAAAAGAAGUUAUAAUCGGGUUAAAGAGGAUAGAAGUAAAGGUGCCUAGACUAGAACUCGUCAAGCUUAUCAGUAAAAGUGGGCUAUGGUAUAUGGCAGUUGACAUUGGAGAUCAGAAGCAUUAUGUUAAGGUGCAUACGUGCAGUGUAGAACCCCUAUUGUUAAUGAAUACUGAACCAAACAACUCAUAGAAGAGAGAAUAAUCUCUAAGAUGUUUAAGAUUUGAAUUUUCCAACUAUAUUCUACUGCAGUGAGAACCUAUUUGCUUUUCAAUUGCCAAAGGCAUAAAUGUCACUUGAAUAGUACUUUUACAUUGAAGAAGAUCAAUAAUAUCCAUGUCACCAAUUGUUGAACAUACAAAGACACAAAUAACAAAUGUUGACAUUCCUAAGCAUUAAACCAGACAUGUGCAUUUUUUUAUAACAGCAAAAUCCCGAGGGCCAAUGGCACACAGUUCGAAACUCAGUGGAUAAUGGACCAGUCUUUCUACCUUUCUCCACUUAAACACCAGACAAACCCCUAACCGUGUGCCUAACCCACAUAUCAAGUAUUGCAAUCUUACCACUAGACCAAAGCCCAGCCAUGUAAAUUGAAGACAAAGGAAUAGAAAACGAACUAUGGAACUCUAAUUAAUAUUAGAUGAAAAAUAAAGAAGAAAAAUAAUUAGCUAACUUGAUAGAUAGUCUUCGACAUAAUCUUUCUCAAUUUUUCCACGGGCCAUUUCCCCAACCUGCAUAUGUCAGAUAUAAACUGAUCAAGUAAGCUAUAACUUCCCACAAAUUUAUCAGAAAAAACAAAAAAGAAGUUAAAAAAAAAUGCAUAUAUACCCACAAAUCGAAGUUGUCCAUAGAAAAUUUCACUAGAACUGUAGAACAUACCACAAAAACAAGGUUCAUGUCAUUGCUAAUUCCAUUAGCAUAGUCCUGAAUAUCCAUGAGUUUAUCAGAACUAUGAGAAAGCCUGAAGCAUAAGAGGAGAAGUGAAAGUAUUAGUCAAUUGACAAGGAUAUUCAAUUAGAGAAGGGAGGAACUAAGAACACAAAAUUAUUCACCUAUCUUCCGGCAGCCAAUGGGUAGGUAUUGUGAAACAGGGUUUUUUUAUAACACGUAACAGUUUCUCUCGUUUACCUACAGCAGUAAUGCUCAGCUUUUGUAGCAGCUGCACUGAAUUUGAAGCAACAUCAGAAAACAGCAGAAUUUGACAAAACAAAGAUGGGAAUGGAAGCAUGAAAACAGAUAGGGAAGAAAAGUUUUUCAAGGUGAUAACUUAUACAUGAUACCAGAGGAUCGCUUAAAUGUCCUAGGGAUACGAACAUGAGGUUUUACUUCAAAGAGGACGGACACCUUUCUCAGUCUUCACAUACAAUGCUUUUAAUCACCCAGCUUUAUUUACUCGGCUAUCUAAAAUGGCAAGCAUUGCCUGUGGAAGGAAAGAAGUAUCAUAAAUUGAGAAAUGUAAAGUGUAUUAUAAUAUGGCACCAAGGAGGUGCUGUCAAAAAUAUUACAAGUUACCAACAGAAGAACGCUUCCUAUUCUUAAAGGGAUUCUAUGAGUUCUAUCACUGCUUCAGAAUCAUUUACAAAUUUCUGUUUACGCAAAAAAUGAAACAAAAGUAAAUACUUCAUCUUAAUCUUGUGAACAGAGUUUCCUUUAUCUUCAAAACACCUAGCACUUCAUUCCCUCCAAACUGCCCACCAUAUACAAGAUGGAAUGGUUAUCCACCCAAUUCCUUUGAUUGGAAUUUUGCCUAUGAUGCUCCAGCAUUGCAGUAGCUCACAAGUACACUCUGCAUGCUCCAUUUUAGUCCCACCAUAUUAAGAAAGAGUUUCCAUAGCUGGUCCGUAAAAUGACAGUGCAAAAAUAAAUGAUUGAUACUCAAAGACUUGUCUCCACAUAGAUAACAUAUCCAAGGAUUCCUUUGUUGCCCACCAGAACUCAAGCGGAAGUAACAAGACUUCACUGUGAAGUAUCCCUUACUAUGAAUCUUCCAUUAAAGCUUGUAACAGUUGUUAUUGUCCUGACCAUGAAAAGGCUCCAGUAAUCAAGCUUUAGUCAUAUUGGUAUGUUUCUUUGGGUCCCAUGUCCUGUAUGAGCCGUUUAGUCUUGUUAGAUAUUUACAUGCUAGUAAAGGUAAUACUUUGUGUUAUAACCUUUUCUUUAAAGAUAUUGGAUGGAAACAGGUUUAAAUGGAGCGACAUGGAUAGUGAGGCUCACAUUGGUCAACCCCCACUAGACUGGGACCGAGGCAUAGUUGUUGCUUAUAGAUUUUUUCUUCUUUUCGGAAGGAAAUGGGAGGGGAGGAUUUGCUUAAAAUGUUGUUUGGAGAACUAAAAAACAUCCCUUUCUUAUUUCAACAAGAAAAUGUAUACUUAAGAAGUGUCAGUGAUGCACAGCAACUCAUUUCUACUACAGUUCCAACAAAUACAAAGAAUCUGAAUCAGACAGAAUUAUAGCAGAAGCAAGGUGAUGUAACUUACUAAAAGAACUAAGAAAAUGGAACAGCGAUGCACAGAUCUAUAGCAUAGAGAGAGAUUGAGUUGCAGAAUACUGUAGGCCGGUGGGUGGACAAGGCAUCUAACUUUUCAUAUUAAUUUCUCUUUUUCUUUUUUUGGUCCGUGAGACACUUAAUCAUUGAACGUAUGUUGAAGAACUAAGUGACUCCACCUGUUCUUUUCCGUCCAUAAAGAUUGUCACCUUUAUAUAUUUGAAAACUGAUUUUUACACUCCAUUCUCUUUUCCUACAUCUUCUACUAUUUCAUUCGUCCCAUUAACAUGACUUGUCAUGAGUCCACUAGACACAUAAACAGAUACUUCUAUACUGAGGAUAGUCUUGGUACUUUAUACAUAUUUAGCUUAUAUGUCGAAACUCUUCCGUCCUUUUUAAAAUCCUAUCCAGACAAAUACCAUCAAAUUGGACAGAGGGAGUAUGCUUUAGUGUCAACUAAUUGAGCUCCAGGAAAAUUCAUACACAUUCAGUACAAAGCUAAAUUGUGUUACAGCCUACUUAUUUUAGCUUUGGCAUGCCACUCUACCAGACAUCUCCACAAAAAGUUAACAAACAUUGAGACAUCAAGUUUUGCUGGUUACCAUUACGAAACGUCACAACCUAUGCCCCACUUCUAAAUAUUGCCUCAAAGGACAAAGUUUAAUCUGAACUCUACAGGAAGGUCAUAGUGUUUAUACUAUGAUGAGUAAUAAAGAACAAGAUUGGGCCAAUAGUUUCAAAGUCGACUAACCUGAUGAGCAAUAUCAGGCCGAUAAUCAGAAGGGUUUCGAUUAUUUUUCUUCAGAAAGUUGGAAUGUUCAUCUGAGUUCAGAAGUUGAUAUGUCUGCUUGUCCAAGAGGAUAUAUCAUUAAACAUUGGUUAACUUCCUUUAUUGAGCAGUAUAUGUGAUACUAAAGACAAUUUCACGAGCAAUUGGGUAUAAAAACAUAAAGCAGUCAAUAAGCUAAACAAUUCUUCUAAAGCAGACAUACAAAGGAAAAACAAAAAACAGAAAGUGGAUGAAAAUUGAAAAAUGGCAUUGCAAAAACAGACCUUUCCAAUUUUAGCAAUUUACAGGGAAGCUCUGUCGAUAUGAAAAUAACACCAGGUUUAGUGCUUUGAUCGGUAGAAACAACUGGUAUGCCAGCUAGUAAAUCUACAACUCUUUCAGCUACCUCAGUGUCUGAGGCAGUGUGUUGUAUUUUCACUCUUUUUGCUGAUCCUGUUGACUCGUCGUCCACAGAUUCCUCUAUUUCCUCUUUAUCAUAAUUCUCUUCUUUCUUUUUCCUUUUUUCCCCUUUUACUUUGUAAGGCCUCACCAUAUGUUCUCACUACUAAAAGUUGGUCAGCACUCUAUACUUCAAUAAAGGGAAAAAAUUAUCAAAUAUGCAUACUCACAAAUAAUCUGCUAUACAUAUAUUGUCGCAUUAUGCACGAAUGGCAGAGAAAAAAAAGCAAAUACAGUUCCAAGUUUUUUUUUAUUUUUCCUACUUGUCAAAAUCCAAUUGUGAAUGCCGAAAAAAUAGAAAGGUAAAACAUUGUUAUAGCAACAGAGAGGGCAGGAAAAGACAGACUUACGGGCCGAAGAAGUUCGUCCACACAAAGUCGCUGACGCCUUCACUGAGAGACGUCGCCGGUCGAAGUUCACAAAAUACAGAAAAGGCCGGAGACAAUUAGAUGAAAGGUGUCAAUUAAGUCUUGCUUUGUUUUUGGUGACACUUUGACCAAGCAAGGGUCAAAUUCACUCUAAAAUGUAAUUAAGUAAAUUUGGGACCAAAUUAACAUUUUCAAAACUUUCUAAUCUUUUAUAGAAUACAAGAAAACACUUCAUUUUUCAACUUUUAUAAUUCUAUCCAAACUAUUUAAAAAAAAGUAAAGAAAAUAGAAUUUUCUCUUCUUCUUCCAACGUUCUCUCUUCUCUUCUUCUUCUUUCUUAGAAAAUCCAAAAAUCUGACUAUCAAAACAAAUAUUCUCCCCCAUUAUCUUAUUUUCCUCCUCAUCUCCGACCGUGACUCUCUCCUAUUUCGGAACUGAAGAUUGUGUUCGACUUAAAAUGGGUAAGUCAUUUUUUUUGAAAGAUUUUACAAUUUUCGAACAAUACUAAGUUUUUUUCUUGGAUUAAUGAACAAUAAAUCGUUCUACCUAUUAUUUAUUGUUUUUGAAAGAAAAUCAACAAACCCAAAAAAGCCCUAAUUUUGAGGAAAUGUAUAUGUAUUGUUAACAUUCAGUGAAAAUUCGUUUUUUGUUGCUUUUGUUGUUCUUUUUGUGACCAUUUUGUUCAUAUGAUUUUAGAAAUAUAGUCUUUUUUGUUCAUAUGAUUUUAGAAAUAUAAUCUUGUUCAGUUGUCCAACAUAUAUUUCAUUUGUUGAAAGAUGUGUCGUAUGUUGCUACAUUUUAGUGAUAUGUUGAUAUAUAUUCCAACAGAGUUGUCAUAUGUUGGAACAUAUCACCUAUGUGUUAGGGCAACAAAAUGGUCAUCUGUAGUAACAGAAAAUUAAUCUAUGGCACAUGAAGAUUCAUUUGUGGCCAUAGAAGAUUCAUUCGUAGCAACAGAAGGUACAUAUGUGGCAACAUAAUAUCUAUCUGUGUCAACAUAAGUAUAAAUUGCUACCCAUUAUUAUUUUAUAAUCAAUUGUAAACUCUCAACCUUUUUUUAUUCACCUUGUAGAUGAAAUGAUACAAGAAGUUUCAUCCAUGACAACAUCUCAAUCUUUUAUUGGUGUUACUUCCUCUUCUAACAUCAAAUGCUCUUUUUGUCUAUGCGAAGAAUGUGAGCAGUAACAUGAUUAUUUUAUUAGUCGUGUUAAAGAACUCACUGAUAUUUUUAAGGAAAUGACUUAUAAUAUUGAUGUCCAUACAUUCAAGAAGAUUUCACAGCCUUUGAAGUGUAGGAGGUUGAAAAAAUCUAUUUCCCAAUCACUAUCUAUAAUUAGUGAAAGAAAAAAAUCAAUGACUACUGCUUCAGUAUCACUCUCAAACCCAAAAGGCAAGGAGAAGGAGGAUGAGGAGGAGAAGAAGAAGGAGAAGGCGAAAGUGAAAAAGAAAGCGAAAGAGAAAGAGAAAAAAGUCAAAGUCGUCAGUUGUGAUGUGAAGCAACAAUAUCCAUUUUUCAGGUUGUAACAUUGACGGCGAGGGUCCAACUGAACUAAUGUCAUCCUUCUCGCAAUGGAUAAACGAGGGUCUUAUUAGCAUCAUGCAAAAAAGUAAAGUCCUUCAACUAUUAUUAGUAUUUUUCCUUGUUGUCCACUAAAUAAUUAUUUAUAAUGAUUAUACAAUUGCAGAAGAGACAAGGAUGAUCACUACUUAGCCAAUUGCUCGGAUCACAGAUGAGGUUUAUGUCCCUAUAAAUUGUAAUGGGAAGUUUUAUUGGGUCUUGGUAGUCGUAGUAUUGAAGGAACGGUGUAUAAAGGUGUAUGAUUCAAUGUCCUCAUCUAGGAAGAACAGAAAAUUGUGCUUCGAGAUUCAAAAAUUGUCUAUAUUGUUGCCAAAGUACCUAGAAUCCAGCGAAUUUUUUUGAUCAAAAAGACCGAACCAAUUGGUCAGUUCUUGAAUCUUACCAAGGAAAGAACAAAUCUCACCCAUUCGAAGUCAGACAUGUUACUGAUAUUGCCCAACAAGUAAGCAAUAGUUUGUAAGUAUCACAUUAUUUUUUUGUGUUACGACUAUUGAAAUGUGAUGUUAUUAUAUUUUCUAAUCGAUGAUAUACCAUGUAGAGAUUGUGGACUUUUUGUUGCUGCAUACGCUGUGUUUUUUAGUGAUGGACACAAGUACCAUCUGAUGGAAUUAGUUCUGAAACCCUUCGCAUGCGAUAUGCUUCACUCCUAUGGAAUUAUGGGAUUUUAAAGGCUCAGAGUGGCUAUGUUAGUAACAAUGAAGACCCACAGAGGCCUAGACCUAAAAAAGCAAAGUUCGAUUAAAAUGUUGUGGUUACCACCAUUAAUUAGAUUGAUGGUUAUGUAUACCAUUAUGAAUUACCUUUUUGUUGAUAAGUUGUAUAAAACAAUUGGUGAAGUGUUCAUUUUUGUUGAUAAUAUUAAUAUUAAUGAUUAUUAUUAUUAUUUUUAUUUUGUUGGAACAAAUGUCAAUUAUGAUGGAAAGGAAGAAAUGUGGUGUCUGUGGCAACAUAUAUAAUCUCUGUUGUAAGAAACACCACAUAAUUAUCUGUAUGUGCCCCAACAGAAAGGAUAUAUGUGGCAACAUAUGUCACAGAAAGAAGAUAUGUGGUAACAUAUGUCACAAAAAGGAGAUAUGUGGCAACAUUAUAUUGUCACCAAUUGUUCAUUUUUGCUGAUAAUAUUAAUAUUAAUGAUUAUUAUUAUUAUUUUUUAUUUUGUUGGAACAAAUGUCAGUUAUGAUGGAAAGGAAGAAAUGUGGUGUCUGUGACAACAUAUAUAACCUCUGUUGUAAAAAACACCACAGAAUUAUCUGCAUGUGCCCCAACAAAAAGGAUAUACGUGGCAACAUAUGUCACACUUUGAAUUAUCAAAAUUCAAAAAAAUAACAAUUAAAAAGGUUUAAAACAAUCGUCCCUUUAUUUUUCCCUCUCUCCUCUCCUCUAUAAAUGGUCGUUUCAUAUUCCAAAUUUAAUUUAUUUUUACUAAUUUCUGUUUUCUUUUCUCUUCUUUCCUUUCUCUCAUUCCAUUAUUCCUUCACAGAUCAAGGUUGUUGUUGCGAUAUUUUCUAUAAAAUCAGUGGUAAUCUGUUGCGAUCCUCUUCUACAACAAGACGUCGUUGCCCUCAUCAUUUAUAGUUUAUCGUUGAAAUCUUCUCAGGUAAAAUUUAAUUAGGGUUUUGAAAUACUUACUGGUAUUAAAUCAAGACAUUUUUAGUGGUUUUAUCACUUAUUUGUUUGUAGGAUGGUUGGGUUGUUGUUCCUUUUGAAAUAUUAUCUGAUUUCAAAAAGUUUAACCCUAAAAAACACAUUUUAAGAUAUACAUAUGUUGCCACAUAUGACAUGUCUGUUGCAAUUUUUCCAACAGAACGUGCAUAUGUUGCCACAUAUGUCACUUCAAGGAUGGGUUAAUCGAUAAAUUGAGCGAUUUAGCAAUGGAAAAAUGUCAAAUUUUUUUAAAUUAAACAUUUUAUAAAGAACAAAUUCAAAAAUCAGUAUAAAACACAAAAAAGUCACCUUUUUCCUCAUAAGUUUGCAAGAAAUGUAUAUAUGUUGCCACACAUGAAAAUUUAAUUAAUACAGAAAUUUAACUACUUUAUCUAUUUCUAAAUCUCAACUACAUAAUUCACAAUGAAAGUGAUAGAAUUGAUGAACAGUGCAACAAAUUGGUCUUUCUCCCAACAAAUAAGGUUCUGGCACCCUUCCAAAUAAAAUAAUCAUACAAAAUAUUUCUUUCGAUAGUCACCCAUAUCGACCCUCCUUGUUUCUUACCAUUCUUCCAACGUCAAAUGUAUCGAUUUUUCUUCUCGACCCAUUCACCAGGACAAUCAACACCUACAAAUAAUCCCUCCAUUUAUUGUACCUAAAGAAAUUAAUUAAAAAAUAAUUCGUACUAAUGAAGAAAUGUGUAAAUCAUAUGUUGCUACAUAUGACUAUUCUGUGGCGAGAUGUAAGUCAUAUGUUACUACAUAUAACUAUUAUGUUGUGAAAAAUAAAUCACAUGUGACAACAUGCGUAAGUCAUAUGUUGCUACAUAUGGCUAUUAUGUGGCGAGAUGUAAGUCAUAUGUUAGCUACAUAUAACUGUUAUGUUGUGACAAAUAAAUCACAUGUGGCAAUAUGUGCAAGUUCUAUGUCGCAACAUAUGACUAUUCUGUUGCGAAAUGUAAGUCAUAUGUUGCUACAUAUAACUAUUCUAUUGCGAAACAUAAAUCACAUAUUGUGGCAAAAUGUAUAAGUCAUAUGUUGCAACAUAAGACUAUUCUGUUAGAAACGCGAAUGUAAAUUAUUGAAAAAAUUGCAGGUACCCAGAUGAUGAUGAAUGAUUUAAAAGAACUAUUAAUUUUACUUACCAAAACAAUGGUGUGUGACCCCAAUCACUUAUGAAGUAAUUCCAAUUGAUACAGAACGAAAUCUGGUCCACUGAUUAGAUUAGCUAAAUCUGAUUCAAGAAGAAGAAAGGAAGAAGAAGAAAGCUCAAAGACUAGCAACCAAGAUCAACAAUGUACGAAAAGAAAAAGAAGAUGAAGAGAACGGGAAGAAAUGCAAGCAAGAAGAAGAAGAAUACAGCGGGAGGCGGGGGGGGGGGGGGGAGGAAAUAUUUUAUUUCCCAUUUUGGUUCAGCUCGCUGGUGGCUUCCCUCCAGUUUUGGUUCCCACCAAAAAUUGGUUAAAUAGGUUUUAGUCAUUUACCCUUUUACCCCUCAUUUAAUUCAAUGGACCAAACUGCCAACUUAUAAACUUGAGGGCAACUCCACAACCCUUAAUCAUUAAUCACAUAAUUGUCACCUACACUCAAUAAUUAAGACUUAUGUCACCGCCCCUUUAUUUUGACACCUUAAUGUCACCUUUAAUUCAAAGCCCCAAAAGGCAGCCGAAUUAUGGGGUUCUGGGAGAGGUUAUUUUUUGACGGGUAGAGAGAGGUGUUAGGGGAUUGGGCUCGGGUGGGUUUUGAUUCUUUUAGAAUAACUAACUAAUUCGACAAACAUUCUACCCUAUUUAUUACUCCCUCCGUUCCAUUUUAUGUGAUGUAGUUUGACUCAACACGGAGUUUAAAAAAGAAAGGAAGACUUAUAAAACUUGUGGUCUAAAAUGAAUGAUAAAAAUUUGUGUGGCUGUAAAUCAUUUCAUUAAGGGUAAAAUAAAUAUUUUAUAGUUAAAUUGUUACUUAAUAUAGAAAUGUGUCAUUCUUUUAGGGUUGACUAAAAAGGAAAGUAAGUCACAUAAAUUGGAACAGAUGGAGUAUAAUUUUAAGAGUAAAUUUUAGGUUUAGCAAACAUAAAAAUCAUAUUUGUAUGUUAUAAUUAUAGUUUGUAUAAUUACGCUCCAUAGCAAAUUUUAUGUUUGUUAUGGCUAUUAAUCUGUAUAUUUCGGUAUACAUAUACAUAAAAAAUUUGUAUUUAUAUAUUUCGGUAUACAAACUAAAACAUAGUAAUGGUAUAUAAACAAAAUUCUACAUAUUAUACGACACAUAUGUAUACCGAAUGGGUCUAUUUGUAUAUUUCCGUAUACAAACGGGUCAUUAUGUUAUAAUUAUAGUUUGUAUAAUUACGCUCCAUAGCAAAUUUUAUGUUUGUUAUGGCUAUUAAUCUGUAUAUUUCGGUAUACAUAUACAUAAAAAAUUUGUAUUUAUAUAUUUCGGUAUACAAACUAAAACAUAGUAAUGGUAUAUAAACAAAAUUACUACAUAUAUACGACACAUAUGUAUACCGAAUGGGUCUAUUUGUAUAUUUUGGUAUACAAAUGGGAUGACAAAAAAAUGGAAUGUUUGCUGCGAAUUACAAAUAGAAGAAACUAUGACUAUAACAUUUAAUAUGAAUUAAUAGUUUGCUAUUUCAUACAAUUUUUUCUAAUUUUAAUUACGUGUUUUCCUCCUAAUUAAUAAUUAUAAUUUCAAGUUAAAUAAAUUUAGAUAUAAUAUUUUUGCUAUUAGAUACAUUAAAAUAAUGAGAGAAGCAAGUGAGGUAGUCUGUGUAUUCUAGAUGCAUACAAAUUAUACUAGAUAUAUAUAUCUGGAAUACCUAGUAUAGGGAUUGAGGCGAGCAAAACAAGAGAGCGACAAGUGAGAUAGGAGGGAGACAAGUGAGAGAGCCAGAUACAUGCGAAUCAACUUGAACACAAUGUAUCUAGAAUAAAUUAAACAUAAUUUUGAUCUUAUGUAUAUGAGAUACAUGUAUCUGACUAAAGUCCAGUUUCUAAUAGAUUUCGUAAUAAUGAAAAGUAAAGAAAAAAAGGUAAAUAGAUACUAAACUAGUAAAGUUUAUGUAAGUUACCCGAUCUUUUAAGCAAAAACUCAAAGGGUUUAUUUUUUUAAAAAAUGUAUAUCGAAAAAAUGGUUUAAUAUCUUAAAAUUAAAAAAAUUGCAAGAUAUAGGGAGGUUGAUGAGAUUAUAAGUCAUCCAGCUAAGUUAGUUACAAGAGUUAGUUAGAAGGAGUUAGUUACAAUUUGUUAGUUUGUUAGCUAGCUUGAGUCUAUAUAUAUAUAUAGAUAUAUAUAGAUUUAUUUGUGAUUCUUAGUUUUUAAUUCACAUUCAAUGAAAUAUAUUUUUCCAUGCAACUCUUCUCUUCUAGAAGCUUCCAUUCUGAUAUGAUCUUAGGCUCCAUUAAUGGAGGAGCUCGAUGUUUAGCAGUUAAAUAUGUUGAUUUUCAUAUGGUAUUAGAGUCAGGUCCAUUCUAAUUUGUUGUUUAUCGAUGUCCAGCCUCCGUUUAGAAAUGUUCACGAGGUAUGGGCAUGCGGGGAGUGUUACGAAGUCUCACAUCGAUAGAGGGACGGAAAUUUGAUCUCCUUAUAUGGACUUGGACAAAUCUCUCCUCAUGAGCUAUCUUUGGGGUUAAGUUAGGCACAAGUUCCAUCGUUAUGUAACUGAACCAAUGGUAAAAACAAGGGAUCCCUAAAAACAAAAGUAAAAAUUACAUUUAUAUGUAAUGUAUAAAUAUUGUAUUGUAUAAAUAGUUAUGUAAUAUAUUGAUAUUAUAUCAAAUAGUGUAUAACUAAAUAUAUAUUAUGAAUAUUGUUUAUAUAAUAGUUUAUCUUCCUCAAUAAAUUUAUUCAAUAAAAAAUGAAUGAAAGCGAGAGGACGGAGGCCCUGAGGGAAGCAAAUAGGGAGGCCUCUGAGUGACUGGGAAGGUGGAGAUCCAAUAUCUAAUGAGUUGUGUUGACCCUCUCAAAUUAUGAGACAAGCCUUUCUUCUUUUUCUUCCUUUUUGUUAUUCAUCUAAUAUAAGUAUUACUUAUUAUUAAAUAAGCUUAUAAGGGUAAAAUGAUAUUACUCAUCAAUUAUUUAAUCACAUAAUCCUUAAGUUGAAAUUGUCUAUUCAUCCAAGGAAAAAAGGAAUUAUCUAUCCAUAAAUAUAUUUAAUUGUUAAACCGUGAUCAUCUCAUAGUCUUUUAUAGAGAAUAUAUAUUUAUUUAUUUAAUUAUAUACUUGGGACAUUUUUUAGAAGAGGUCUAAGUUUUUUCAUUGAGUAAACACGUUUAAAAAAAAGUCUAGAUAAUACUUGCUGUCUUGCUCAUCAAAUAAGUCAGGACAGAGGCGUUGGGCGUAGAACCACGACAUGAUAUGGUACCACGAGGCCAUUAGCUUCACUAUAUCAUUUCCAGUAAUAAUAUGGAGUACUUCUCAACACAAUAAAAUAUAGGCGAAAUGGUUUGGUGGACCCUUAUACUUGUAUCAGUUUGUAUUCUGAACCCUUCUACUUACAGCUUUGUCAUAUGAACCCUUAAACUCAAUAAAACACAAUUUAACAAACCCCUCUGACUGUGACCAGGCUUUUGUGGCAGUAAGAUGUCUGAGUUGGCAAAAGUGUGUAACUACACGCCUAUUAAGGCGAGUGUGGAGCAUUUUUACUUUAAAAAUACUUGAAAUUAUAUAUAUUUUUUAAAACCAUUAAUUAAAAACUCCUUCUUCUUCACCCAUUACACCUCAUUUUCAGCCAUAUUCAUCCCUUGCCCAACCUUUUUUUCUUUUUUUCCACAAUCUAUUUUUCGGCUAGAUCUAGUGUAUUGGCUUAGGUUGUUGUUUUUGUGAGGUUGGAGAAGGAAAGGAAAAUGGUCGUGACGUGUGGCGGAGAUGAAGGCAGGUAAAGGAAGGAAUAUGAGUGGUUUCGCCGGCAACAAUGGCGACGGCGGCGAUGGUUUGGGCCAUGAAACAAUGGGAAGGGGAGAAACUAUAAUGGGUAGAUUUCGACGAGUUUCACGACAUAGGUUGGUGUGAAAUUGUAUUUGUAAGCAAUUUGGGGUGUGAGGAUUAUGAAAAGCUUGGCCAGAUCUGGUUGUGCGGUGGUUUAAGUUGUUGUUACUGUGGAGGUUGGAGGAGGAAAGAAACAUAGUAAUGGUGUGCGGCGGAGAUGAAGAUGGGUGAGGGAGAAAGUAUGUGUGAUUUCGUCGGCAAAAAUGGCGACGAUGCCGGCGAUGGCUUUCUUUUGGUGGUGAAAUAGUGAAAGAAGGGAGAAUUAGAAAUGCCAAUAAUUAAUUAAAAUGUUAUUAUUUGGUUAAUAAUUUUAAAAAAUAGUUAUGAUAUAAUUAUGAUGUGGCAUUAAUAUAUCUGACGUGGAUAUGACAUGUCAAUUAUAUAAAGGAGAGUGAGCUACACACAUGGUUGGAGGGGCUUAAAAGUCUCAUUUUAAUUGAGUUUAAGGGUCCAGAUGACAAAGUUGUAAGUAGAAGGGUUCAAAAUACAAACUGAUACAAGUAUAAGGGUUCCCCAGACCAUUUCGCCUAAAAUAUAUAGUAACUAAUAUUAAUACUAAUAUGCAAAUUAAUGUAUGCUCCAUUGUCCGUAAUUAAUUGUCCACUUUUGAAUUGACACAUCCAGUAGCGGAUUCAAGAUAUUCGUUUAGGGGGUUCGAAAAAUAAAAGUAUAAACGUGUAAAUAAGCCUUUAGAAAUGGGAACCUUAAAUUUUGUUGGGUUUAAAACCACACUUUUAGCACGUUUUUUAAAGUAAAAAAAAAACACUAAAAAAAUGAAAAACAGAACUGAAAAUAAAAAAUAAAACUGAAACUGAAAAGGAAAAAAAUAAAACGCUUUCACUGAGAUUCAAACUAGUGAUGCACAACUUAAUUUCUGGGGGACUUGCCACUGUGCCAUCAACUUCUCUUUGUUAUUUAGGGUGUUCAAAAUAUAUAUAUCUACAGAAAUACAUAAAAUUUACUUUAUAUAUAUCGUGUAAUUUUUUGUCGAGGGGGUUCGGGUGAACCCUCUGGAGACCAUGUGGGUCCGCCUGGACACACCUAUUAAGAAAAUAAUUAUUGACAUAGUAAGUUUAUCAUUUUACCCAUAUUAAUUAUGAAAUUGAUGAAUUUAAAACUUAAAAUUUUCAAGAAGUUCUAUUUUUUAAAAAGUAAUAUUGAGGAUAUAAUAGAUAAAAAAUAUUUAUUAUUUUUUAAUUUAUUAAAAUGAACAAGUAAUUAGAAAUAACUAAAAAUAAAAAAUAGAUAUAUAGUACUCCGUAGUCCGUAUAUUGUUUCUUCUAAAAUACUCUCUCUACCAAACGUACCUAAAUCUAACAAAGUUCUAUUAGCUUUUGACACGAUAGAAAGGUUGAAAACGUAUGAAAAGCAACGCCCGUUUCAAUUUUCAAAGAAGAAGAUUAAAAAGGUGCGAGCGGAGCAGUUCUAUGGGCGGCGGCUAUCGUGUAGGCUCCGCCACGUGGUGAUAUGUGCAUAGACGUGGCGCCGUGCAUGGACACAAAUGAUGACCCAAUUCCACUCAUCCUUUAACAUCUCCUCCUUUUUUCUAACAAAUACUAGUACUAUUAAAUUUCUAGAAUGCCAUGCCGCCCACGAAUACGGCUCAGUUGUUUCAUCACAUCACACACCGUUUGAGAGUCGGGCCAUACUUUGACAAAUUAAAUUGGUUUUAAUUUAAAUAUACACAAAAUUUUAAAAAUGUUUUUGUAAAAUAUUACGUGCUUAAACUAAAGAUACGACCAAAAUAUCAUUUGACUUUUAUGACUUAAAUAAAUAUACUAUGUAACAUGUUAAUUUUUUUUUAUAAAAAAAGUGACACUUAAAAGAUAUUUACGAGAUAUAUAGAUGAUGUAAACAAAUAGUUUUAUGAUUAAAAUCAUUAAACUCCCUUUAAAUGUAUAAAACCGUUGAAUGAGUUAUUUAGUUGCUAGUUGAAGUAAUGUAGCUAUUAAUAAUGUAAAUAAUUAUUUUACUUUUUAAAUAUUUCUAUCUAUAUUACGAGAUAAAAAUUUGGUUCUUUACCUAAUAUGACCAACUUUUCCAUUAUUGAAGUUGAAGUUAAAAUUGGUGAAAAAAAAAGAGUUGAAGUUAAAAUUGAGUUUUAUUUCUUUUUCAUGUGCGAAUUCUAUAUAUCAACUAAAAUAUCAUCAAACAUAAAUAGUACUAAUCACCCUGAUUUUUUUUUAAUAGUAUAGAAUAAAAUCAAACGACACCUAAAUUAUUAAGGGACCGGCCCUUGUUUUGUUUGACAAAUGACAAUCCAUUCGUCCGCCCAUAAAAAAAUAUCAAGGGGAAAUAUCAAUGACCAAGCUAUUGUGAACCACUAUAAUCCAAGAGAUUUGACAACAGACCCACGACACGUCUUUAAACGGCAUCCAAUCGAGAAAAAAAAAUAUGGAGAGAGACAAUUGAAAACGUCAUUGUAGAUGUAAGAAUAGGGAAGCAUUCAAGUUGAACGUCCACCUCAUAUCUCCUCCUAAUUUCCCGCCCAUCAUUUCUUCUUAAAAUAUCAUCACCUAAAUAAUCCCUCCUACUCACUUCUCUCCACUAUAUAAAUUCUGAAACUCCUUCAUUUCCUCUAUCAAACAUCUCAACUUUUUACUCUCUACACUUUACAAUAUUUAUCCCUCAACUUAUUAGUUCAUCUUCAUAUUCAUAAGAUCUUUUGAUCUAUUAGAUACAUAAUGGAAGAGUAUAUACUACUUAAAAAAAAGGGUAACAAGCGAACCCGAGAGGAUUCGGGUUUGGACUCAGUGCAUGAGUCGAAGCGAGUCCAUAUUGAGGCAACUGCAGGUUCGAGCUCGGUUGAGUUGAACCGAGUUGAACUGGAAUUAGAGGUGAAUUCUUAUGACUCGUCCAAGUCGAAUCAGGAAGGUCAUGUCAGUUCGCCGGAUUUUGAUGAAUAUGAUACAGACGUAGACGUAGAUUCGCCGGAGGCUAAGCAGAUUAGAGAAGAUAUUCUGGAUAUACUUGAUGAGCCAGAAACAGUGGGCGAUGGUGUACCAGAAAAUCAGGACCUUGACUCUGUAAUCAAGAGUUUUGAAGAAGAGAUCCUUCAUCGUUCAACUCUGCCAUCUCCUCACACCUUAAUUGACCUAACGUUGUCAGAUUCCGGCGAAUCUCAAUCGGAUCUCGGCUACCUUCUAGAAGCUUCGGACGAUGAGCUUGGCCUCCCCCCCAGCUUUUCCCCCGAAAACCAUAUUGAUUCCGAAUCGAGAUUGAAAAAUACGAUUGGAUUUGAAAACGAAUUACUGAGAUAUGACUCAUUCGACUUGGGGAUGCUUGCCGGGAUCAUGGACGGAGAUAAUUACGGCAGUGAAAAUGACGGUGAUUUUGUCACAGUGGGCGGAUUAUUCGAUUAUGCAGAUCCGUCAAAUUUUUCAGAGUUGUCACUGCUGCCGGAGUCCCUACCGGCUUUGUAGACAUAGGUGUGUCGUGGCGGCCUGUUUCACCUUUCCGGUCGAAAUCUAAUAGCUUUAGAAUAUUAGUUUGCUGUUUGUACAUUUUAAAAAGAUUGAAAAAGGAAUAGCGAUGCUGAAUAUUAGUAUAAGUUGCUAUUUUUUUUUAUUUUUUUUUUAUACAUAGUCAUUAUAUACGAUGAAUAUAAUGUUUUGUCAACUUCAACAGUUAUAUAUUGGUACAAAACAUUUCAUUCAACAAUCAUGAUAAAAAAGAAAAUAAAAUUGUUCUUAAAAGAUUAUGUAAGCAACUAAGCACAUAUCAGUAAUUGAUUCCAACUGUGUACUAUUUCAGGUGUUUAUGGUUAUUGUUUGUCUUGUAUAAAAGAUUUACUAGCUAACUAUAUAUAUAUAUUUGUUCUUUUGAUACUAAUGUUAAAAUGAAUUUUGUUAUCGAGUAAGUUGAUUUUACUAUUUUAUUGCUAAAAUUAAGGGUGUCUCAAUAAAAUUAGUGGCCUAAAGUCAAAUUAUAAUAAGAGGUCUUAAAUAUAUAACACGCAUAAAAAUACUACUAUUAAUUUUGAAUUCCAUUUUUUUGAUUCACUUGUUUUUAGUACAUAUUCUUAAAGAUAUGAAGCAUAUAAUUUUACAUAAUAAUAUUAUUAUUUAUAAGAAUAAGAAUUAGUAUUAGUUAAUAAGAGGUUAGAUAUUUGUUUGCAAUACAUGGCGUUGGAUGUUGAUAAAAAAACUUUAUUUAUUAAUAUAAAGAUUUCAGUUGUUUAAUUUAAGUUCUAAAAUUAAUAUUCUUGAUAACAAAUAUUAGGUAGUUUUUCUUUAUUUUUAUUUAAUAUUUUUAUAAUGUUCAAUAUUGUUUCAAGUGAAAUUAAAAUCAUAAAAUUCACUAUUAAUUUUUUUUUGGAGGCCUCAAAAUUUUGUGGGGACUAAAGCAAAUAUUUUACUAGCUUUACCCUUGAGUUAUCUCAGGCUAGAAAGACACUCUGUGAAGGACAUUGGGAUGACAACUGAUCUUACUUUCGGACUUUAUCGUAUCACUAUUGGGCUUAUAACAUUGGGAAGUAUGUUUGAAAGUUAAAAUUAUUUUCCAUCAAGUUUCUCAUUAAUUUUGUCUAUUAGCGAGCGAUUGUCCUAAUUAGAUUAAGCUAAAUUAUUGGAGAUUUAUUAUGUCGCAAGGGAGUUGUUAAGUCUUUUUUUUUUGUCAAAAGCUUUUACAAAAAUAUUAUUUAAAAAAUGAUAUGAAUAUUAAAUCUUGUACUCCAUUCCUUUUAGGUAUAUACUUGUCAAGCAACCAUGUUUAUGAAAAGGGUUAUACUAUUAUCAAAUUGGAGUCUUUUAUAAAUCAAUUUAAGCCUGCCAGUCUCCUUUUGAGAUUCUAAGUGAUUAAUUUUCUAAAUUGAGUAAAAAAUUUCGAGUCUAUUAUGGAUUUUAUAAUACCAUAUGGUCGUAUUAAAGUUAAAUGAACUCACGAAGAUUCCUUAAGCACUUUAAGAUUUUUAUGAAUAUCCUUAGGUUUAAGUUACCUUUCUAGAGUCGGAUUAAGUGUUCAUAUUUAUUCUUAACGCCUAUGAGGUUUUAUUAGACUUUACAUGUUAUACAGAAUUAUGUGAUUACAAGUUUAUGAGAAUAAAAGUAUGGAAGAGUCAAAAUUAGCUAAGUUCUUGUUAUGACAUAUUAUGUGCAUUAAGAAUUCAUAUCAUGAAAUGUUAUGCAUUCAUUCCGAGCUAUAAUCAGAGGGAAGUAAACCUAUUUUCUUAAAAGAGUAUAAAUAUUGUACAAAUGACCACAUGUUGGAAAAUAUGAUAUUAGUUAGCUAUCGGAACAUACCGUCAUUGCUAGCAUUUUGUUGGAUAUUUCAUGCAUUUGCAUCUAUACAUACAUAUUCACGACAUGUAAUUAUUCGAGCAUGCCAUGCAUAGUUGAUUAAUAUGAGGUCAUAUGUCAAUCAUGAAGGCUAUCAAAGUUUUAGUUUCAGAUAGUAUCUCUAUUACCUUUUUUAUUGCAUCUAUUUAUGAUUUCACUUUCCGUCUUAUAUACUAAUAAUUUUCAUUUGUACUGGCGUUCCAUUGCUUGGGACGCUGCAUUUCGUGUUGCAGGUUCACAGAGGUCUUGAUCGACCUUUGCAUUAGGGGUGAUGUCUCAACUGAGAAUUGAUAAGCUUCAUUCUUUGUGAAGUCGUUGCUUGUCUAUAGGUUUUGCACAGUUGAAUUUUGUAUAUAAUUGUUGGUAUCAUUAGGGACCUUUUCUCAACCAUUUGAGUUGUAAUAUUUACAGAGACUAGUGAACAUACUUUGUUGGGUCUUCUCAGCUUUAAUCCAUAGCCUUAUAAGCUUAUUAUAUAUAUGAGUUUGAUUCCAGCCUUAUUAACUUGCUAGUUCUUUAUCAGUGGCUUGUCAGCCCUUUUAUUAUGUUGCUGAUAUUGUUGUGACCUCGCUGGUCUAGUUAUCUUGUUUUAGCAGUUAACUAUAAUGGCCUUGUCAGCCUUCAUUGUCCUUUUUUUCAUUAAUGUUUAUGUGGCUAGCAUGGUCAAAUAAUGUACUGAGUGCCCGUUGCGCCUCCCCUAGUUUGUAGUGUGACAAUUUUUUCCUUUUUAGAAAAUUUCUAUACUAAACAAUAUAUAUAAAACAAUAACGACAUACUCAAACGUGAUCUUAAUUAUAGGUGAGAUUUCGAAUGUAGAGUACAUGCAAAUUUUAUCUCUACUUCGUGAAGGUAGAGAGAAAGACUCGCAGUUUAAGUAAUGCAUAUCAAAGCCAGUAAAAAGGAAAAUAUAUAGAGAGAAUUAAAGAGAUAGUAAAUAAUAAGAAAAAUAGUACGUAAUAUUCAAAGAAAAAGAAACUUUUAGGAAAGUGAGACAAUAUGCAAUUAACUUUCUAUUUUAAUAUGUGAUCUCCACACCCGUUUAUCUAUGUCCUCAUAAGUUGAAGAUACACUAUAUAAUAUGUCUAAUCAUUUGAUAAAUUGCAGAAUCUAAGCUAUAUUCUUCACAUACAAGAUGCAGAAAUUAGAUGCACUAUUAGAGAGAAAAAUCCAACUUCAUUACAUUUCCUUUUGAAUGGUCAGAAUAUUCUGUAUUGUGUUGUUCUUUUACAUUACAAAUGCAUUCAUUAUAUAUGAAGUGCACCGACUUAUCUUUUGUAACUAACUCAUGUGCAACACGUGCUCUGCCUAACAAAUUUCAUUACAAAUGAUCAGUUGGUUUAUUUAACUAAUAGUAAGUAGGACUUAAUAUGUGACUCCUUGCUUCUUUAUCUAUUGAAUCUCAAUACUCCCUUUCAAGCUAGUGGUUGAAACACAUCUAACACAUCAAGCUUGGACAAUAAGAACUCAUGUUGUCCUGUGCCAAGCCCCUUUCUCAAUAUAUCAGCUAACUGCAUGUUGGAACAUACAAAUUGAGGAUCUAUAAAUCCAGACUUUACUUUGCCCCUAAUGAAGUGACAGUCAAUUUCAAUAUGCUUCGUCCUCUCAUGAAAUAUGGGAUUUCCUGCAAUCUGAAUGGAUGACUUACUAUCGGAAUAUAGUUUAAUAGGGACUGAUAUAGCACAUUCAACUCUUGCAACAACCCUGAGAGUAAAAUCAAUUCUGAAACCACUGUUGCCAUGCUCCGAUACUCAGCUUCAACAGAGCUUCUAUUCACAGUUUGUUAUUUUUUGGACUUCGAAUAAAUCAAAGACCCCCCUAAUUUUAUCAUAUAACUAGUUAAAGAUCUACUGGUGUUUGGGAAAAGAGACCCAAUAUGAGUCACAACACCCUAUCAAGUUUGUAAUCUCACCCUUUUUCAAAAAAACACCAAAGCCAUGAGACUUUUUGAUAUAUCGCACAAUUCUAAGGUUGCAUCCCAAUGUGACACCCUGGGAUGUUGCAUGAAUUGUCUUAGAGUUUGAACUUCAAAUGUUAUGUCUGGCCUUGUUAUUGUUAGGUAAAUCAGUUUCCCUAUUAAUUUAUGAUAUGCUGUAACAUCAACCAACUCAUUAUCAAAACUGUUUCUUAUGUGUUGAUCAAAAGUCAGACUAGCGAACUUAUGAUUGAAUUCAACAGGAGUACUGAUUGAUUUUACACUACUAAGAUGUGUGUCUGCAAUGAGUUGUAGUGUAUAUUUCCUUUGGUUUAGAAGGAUUCCAUCACUUCUAUACCCAAAAAAAUAUCUCAGUUUUCCCAUAUCUUUCAUCUUGAAGUGUUGAUGUAAGGUAGACUUAGCUUCAACAAUCAUCUUAGAGCUUGAGCCAGUAAUCAACAAGUCAUCAACAUACACCAGAAGCACUACAACAUCACCCCAUGCUUCCGGGUGAACAAAGAAUAGUCAUAAGCACUUUGACUAUAUCCAGCUUCUAGUAAAGCAUUAGCAAAUUUAAUGUUCCACUGCCUAGAGGCUUGCUUCAAACCAUAUAGAUACUUUUGUAACUUGCACACUUGGUUGUUCCUUAUUCUGUGAAAUUCAAGAGGCAAAUUCAUAUAAAUAUCCUCAUGCAGAUCACCCUGCAGAAAAGCAUUACUCACAUCCAUUUGACAUAUGUCCCAGCCGUAGGAAGCAACUUAACUGAUAACUAGCCUAAUUGUUGCCAUUUUUGCAACUGGAGAGGAAGUCGUAGUCUAGUCUUUCCCUUUGAGUGUACCAUUUAGCCACUAGCCUGGCUUUGAAUAUGUCCACUGUACCAUCAGACUUGUACUUGAUUUUAUAUAGUCAUUUUCAGCCAAUGUAUUAUCUUCCAAGGCCUUGAUUUCAUUCUGCAUAGCCGAUAUCCAUCUAGCAUCAUGUGAGGCUUCUUUGAAUGUUUGAGGUUCAAGUAAAGCUGAAAAAAAUUGGACAUAAGCCUGAUAAUUUUUGGACAAAUGGGCAUAGCAUACAUGGUCAGUGAUUUUUUCUAUUUUUCGCUUAGAUGUGCUCGGCUGAUGCUAAAGCCAGAGCGUGAUGGCUAGAGUUGAUCGAGCGAAGAAUCACAGUUCUCAGCUAUCACAUUCAGAAAGACUACUGGCCUAAUUUCACUCAAUUAAAUAAACUAUACCCUUACAAAACUUAUUAGUACUCCUACACAGUUGUUCAAUUUUAAUGUCAUUCUCAACUCUAUCCCUGACUGGGUCUUUGAUUUCAGGCCCUUUUGAGGAGGGUAUCUUUUUGGUUAAUAUCAGCCCGACUAGAUUUAGGUGAUACAAUAUAAUCUUUGAUCCAGAUGGGAGGCUUGGAUGUCCUGCUAGUCCAUCUAGGUACAGAAGGAAUAACCAGUUAUAAAUCUUAAGAUAGUGUUGCAUGUGCCAUUCCAUCUUCAACAAGAUGCUCAGGAUGUGUCUCUUGAUGUAAAGUUUCAAAAGCCAUAGUAUCUUCAGUAACUUGUUUCAAUGUCUCUUUAGCAAGAGCAGAAUCAUCAGAAGAUAACUUUGAAACUUCUGGUGAUAUCUUUGAUUGUGCAACAUCUGAAGGUAUUGCAUCUGAGAUGUGAUAUGAUAAAACACAUGCAUCCUGUAAAAGAAGGGGGUCUAGGGAUUGGUCACCUUUAAAAGGAAAAAUAUGUUCUCUGAAGGUCACAUCCUUACUGAUGAAUAUAUUUUUGGACUCCAAGUCAUAUAAUUUGUAUCAUUUUUGUGUGGAAGAGUAUCCAAUGAAGACAACCUUCUUGGCUCUUGCUGUAAAUUUAUUUCUUAUAGGCAAUGCAGUGGCAAAACAUAGGUAACUAUACACCCUCAAGUGAUCAAGAUUAGGAGCCCUUAGAUACAUCAUUUCAUAGGGAGAUUUCCCAUUUAACAGAACAAUAGGCAAUCUAUUUAUGGAAUAAACAACAGUCAAUACACAUGUACCCCAAAAUCUAUUAGGUAUAUGUGAUUGUAUUCUUUAAAGCUCUAUGUAUCUCUAAAAUGUGUGUGCUUUCUUUCAACAACACUAUUUUGCUGAGGUGUAUAUAGACAACUACUUUGAUGAACUAUUCCAUGAUCAAUCAACAAGUCAAAACUCUGUAUCAUUGUCUGAUCUCACUACUGCUACUUCUUUCUUAGAUUUUCUUUCUUAGAUUGCAACAACAUGAUCCAAGUGAAUUUACUAUAAUCAUCUACAAUAGUCAAGAAAUAGUAUUUUCUAUCAUAUGUAAGAUGUUUAUGAGGACCCCAUACAUCUAGAUGAAUCAAUUCAAAUAGACUUGUAGACUUAGAAGUACUAACUGGAAAUUUUAACCUAUAUUGUUUAGCUAAUGGACAAACCAUGCACUCUUGAAGUAUAGCAUCAUCCACCUAAAUACCCAAAUCUUCAUAGACGUUCACACACAAAAAAUCACAAAAAUCGCUUAAUUCCUGUAAAUUCCCCUAAAUACCCAAAUCUAAAAAUAGUGAGACUGAACGUACUGCUCCAUCAGUUUAUGGAGAGUUCCGUAAACAUUUUGUUGAUGCCUGUCGCACUCUAUUUCGAACCGGCCGAAACAGUUCACAACAUAAUAUGGCUGACACUCUGAUUUUGGAAAAAAAUGUUUUGUUUGUUUUAGAGUCGCCACCUAAAUUUUAAGGAGAAUAUUAGGAAAACCAUUUCUUUAAAUAUGUAAAUGUAAACUCUGUUUUGAUUUGCGAAACCAGUGAGAUUCUGAGUAAGGGUUUUGGUUACUCGAGGGGAAGGUGUUAAGCACCCCUCAGAGCCUAUCCGAAGAUAGUCCUUAAACUCAAUUUAGGAAAAUAUAAUUAGGAGAACGUGUUUAUUUGUUUAUUUUAAAUCAAUGGUAAGUAAGUUUUAUUAUUUUAAGAAAAAAUAAAAUACAAGGUACGACAUAUAUAUGUCUAUUAAAUAAACUAAAGGUAGUAUGUUUAUCAUAUAGUAAUAAAUAAAUAGAUAAAUGUACUUAAAUGUAUAAUAAAUUCAUAUGUAAAAAUAUAGUUGUAUCAUAAUAAACCUAUCCUAAAAAAAUACAUAGAUGUUGAAUUUGUAAAAAAAAUCGGUCGUCUUAUUAAGACGUGAAAUAAAAAUAAGAUAGUAGUUGGGUGUAAAUACGUAGUAAUAUGUAAUAUGUAAUUUGGACAAAAAUAUAUAGAAUGGAGUUUUCUAAAAUAAAAUAAAAUAAAUAAUACUAGAUGUUAAAAUGUUAAAAUAUUAAAAUAUUAUAUAAAGGUUUGUGAUCUUAAAUAUGUUCAUUAUAAAGUGUAGUAUAUACAUGUAAGUUGUUUAAACAUNNNNNNNNNNNAAAAUAUAGAAUUUAUACCUCUUAUGUGCAUGCAUAUAUAUGUAUGUACCUUGUAUUUUGAACCUGUUGGCAUAUCUAAAAUUUUGAAAUAGCAUGUUAAAAGAUUAAAGUUUUUAGCAAUGUUUGAUCCAAAAAAAAAAAAGUAAGAAUAGUCAAUAUACUUUAUAAAGAGAGGUGAUGUAAAGGGUGUAAAAAUAAAAUUUUGAAAUAGCAUGUUACAAGAUUAAAGUGUUUUUAGCAACGCUUGAUUCAAAAAUAAGAAUAGUCAAUAUAUAUUUCAUAAGGGGGUGAUGUAAAGAGUAUAAAAUAGGCCUAACUAUUGGGACUCAUUCUAUAGUCACAUUUGUUUUGUUAUAUAUAUAUAAGCCUACUUUCCUACUUAUUUUAAAAAAAUAAUAUAAUUCCACGAGUUAAUUAGUUUAAAGUUAAUUAUUUUUUAGCCUUUAUGUAUCUCUAAAUUCAUUUGGAAGUCCCAAUUUAUGAGUUUUAUUUUUUUUUUCUACUUAAAUACUUAAAUGAAUAUUAUUUCACCCUCUUGUAACUUCAUUUGGAAAUCUUUUAAAACCAUAAGCCCCUCUUUUCAACUUAAAAGGCCUAAAAGAAUGUUAUAAGUAAAAAUGUUAACCCAUUUUAAGAAAAUGUCUUCUGUAUCAUUUGUUCUAAAGGUGUCUCAACUAAAUUCAUAAGCAAAUAAUAUCAGUUCACGUCAAAUAAGCUUCAAAAUAAAAGACAAACAAUAUAUCUAAAACUUUUAAGUAAAGGUUAGCCAAUGUGCCCAAACAAUAUAAUUAAGACUUGAAAAGAGGAAGGCUAAGAAAUAUUAGACUCCUAAUUUGCGAGACUCCGAGCGUUGUGAUGAUCCUAAUUGCUGGUGGCCUAAUAUUUUAGGCCGAAACGAGUUCUAAAGUAGAAACUCUAGCUCUCCGGUUGUACAUGAAACAUUAAAAAAGAAAUAAAGAUUAGCGACUGGUUAAAUGAUGCAAUAAGAUAAGUAUAUAUUAAAAGAAGAAUAUCAAAGACUUGGCAAAAAAUGGUAUUUUUAACAUGUAAACGCUUAUUCUUUCAUUAUUUGGGCAACCAUGUAAUUCUAAGAAUGAAUUAAAGAACCUUUUUACACAAAGUUUCAUAUAGCGAGAGGUGAACCCAACUUAUCAUGGUAAAACAAUAUGGGCUAAUCAUCAUUAACUACAUAACUCAUAUAUAUAUAUACUCACUCUUAAUCAUAUAAGAACAUGCUUUGAAAGGGAACUUGAGAAUAAACAGCUCUUGUAGCAAUUUCAAACGAAAAAAAAAGAAUAACUAUACUUUGAUUAUUUCUGAACAAGAAGGGUGGACAGAACCAAAGAAAAACAUUGUAUACGGCUAGAUAUUUUUGAAUUUACAGCAGCCUACAAUUUGACAAACCGAACUGCUGAAGAGUUUAUUCAAAUUAUUAAAAGGGCUUUCAAGGAAACCAUCCACAGGGUAGAAGAGAACUUUGAGAAUUAUUUUUUUUGUAAUUCUUUUUUGAAAAAAAUAAAAUAAAUUAACACCAAUUUGUGAUUGUUUCUUAUAGUUGAUUCAACAAGUAAAGAAGAGAAUUUAUAUACUUAUUUAAGAGAAGCUAUGUUAAACACAUCAGAAACUAACAUUCCAAAACAAAAUCAAACUUCUCAAGCCUAUGAAAAGACAAUGAUUUUCCAAAAAAAGAAAUAAAAAAUCACCUUUAGCUAUCUAUUUUGAUCUAAAGAGGAUGAAAUGAUCAUUAUGAGGCAAUCAUGCUUUUGAGAGGCUAAACAUAUAGCAACGAUUCAUAAAUAUAUAUAUUGCCAAGCAUAAGUGACCAUAUUAUACGUCAUAUCUACACUUAGGAAAUUCAUAAGAGAGUUUGAAUUAACGUUAGACUUAAUAAUAGUGUGACUGUCCAUUUGACUAAUCCCAACACUAAUCCUAAACGACAACCUUAUACUUUAGCAUUCGAGGGGAACAUAGAUCAACCAUACGAGAGUGUCGUUGAGUUGAGACACUAGUUCGCAUAGUAAGUCAAAAGGGUACAUAAAUCUCUCAAAAAAGAAAAAGAAAAUAGAACACAACAUAUUCCGGAUAAAAUAGGAACCUUAGAUGAUGAAAUAUAAUUUUGAACUAAGUUUAUUGACACUCUAAUAAGAAAAGAACGUCAACUAAAUGGAAAACAAAGUUGCAUGUUAUGACCUUAAAAUCAACAUAUACGACAUUCUGCCACAAGUUACAUAGUUCGCGACCAUUAACCCUAUGAACAUGCAGUAAACCACAGAUAGAUACCCAUAAUACAAUGAUUUUUUUUUAAGCCAUGUCUAAGAACUCAUAAGUGAAAAUAUAUAUAUCAGAUCUCUAUGUGCUAAUAUUAACUGAGAGUGCAGAAAUUAGGACAUGCUGAUUAAAUAAAGAUGAUCUUAUCAUACCACUAAAAGGUUCUCUCAGAAAGUUCAAUAUUAAAACAGCCCCUUGACGAUUUAUUUUUAUUUUUUAUGCUAAGGCGAAAAUAUAUUCAACUGAUUGCACAUAUCUAAGAACAUAAUAGCAAACUACCUUCAGCUCAAUCAAUCCAUUCUUAAAAAAAUUAACACAAAUACUUUAGACUCCUUGAACAUUUCUUCAACAUCAGUUCAAAUUAUUUGACAGAACUAGGAUCAAACAGAGCAGUGUAUUUUCAUUUAGUCGCUAUGGUAAAAGAUAUAUAUUUUUUUUUUGGAUAUAUCAAAACAACGAUUUUGGACAUAAACUAAGGAGAAUUCUAACACAAAACUGAAGCGAAACUUUAAAUAUCAAUCACAUGUUCAACUAAUCGAGUUCGCAGUUAAUUUUCUAACCUAAGAACCUCUUUUAACCUGUUGCAAACUGAUUUCUAACCAAAAUACGACAAGUCUUGUUUCAUUGCCCAUUUAAAUCAGAGACUUAAACAACAAUAAAAAAUGAAAAAUUCCAUACUACAAUAACCAAUCCUAGAAACCGAACCAAAUGAACGAGAUUACUAACCUUAUGUAGAGCAGCAAACUAGAGCUUUGACGUCAAGAUUUCAACUUAGAACUUCCUCCAAACUCAAAUUCAAAACAGAGAACCGAAGGACAAGAAGAAAAAAGAACUUUCGAACUCUAACAAAACUUGAAGUGGCUGCGAUUUUUGCUUCUUUUGAUCGAUUCUUGGAUUUUUCCUUGUUUUGUGGAUUACUUUUGGACCUUUAUCCCCGGAUCCCCCUCGAAUGAGAACCAAAUGGUUCCUUUUAU